rnacentral:rRNA from 1 species
UACAGAGGUCCCAAGCGUUGUUCGGAUUCACUGGGCGUAAAGGGUGCGUAGGCGGUCGGGUAAGUCUGAUGUGAAAUCUCGGAGCUCAACUCCGAAACUGCAUUGGAUACUAUCCGGCUCGAGGAAUGGAGGGGAGACUGGAAUACUUGGUGUAGCAGUGAAAUGCGUAGAUAUCAAGUGGAACACCAGUGGCGAAGGCGAGUCUCUGGACAUUUCCUGACGCUGAGGCACGAAAGCCAGGGGAGCAAACGGG